rnacentral:rRNA from 1 species
UACAGAGGUCCCAAGCGUUGUUCGGAUUCACUGGGCGUAAAGGGUGCGUAGGUGGCCGGUUAAGUCUGACGUGAAAUCUCCGAGCCUAACUCGGAAACUGCAUCGGAAACUAGCCGGCUCGAGGGUUGGAGGGGGGACUGGAAUACUUGGUGUAGCAGUGAAAUGCGUAGAUAUCAAGUGGAACACCAGUGGCGAAGGCGAGUCCCUGGACAACACCUGACACUGAGGCACGAAAGCUAGGGGAGCAAACAGG